rnacentral:rRNA from 1 species
GACGAACGCUGGCGGCGUGCCUAAUACAUGCAAGUCGAACGCUUUUUCUUUCACCGGAGCUUGCUCCACCGAAAGAAAAAGAGUGGCGAACAAGUGAGUAACACGUGGGUAACCUGCCCAUCAGAAGGGGAUAACACUUGGAAACAGGUGCUAAUACCGUAUAACACUAUCUUCCGUAUGGAAGAAAGUUGAAAGGCGCUUUUGCGUCACUGAUGGAUGGACCCGCGGUGCAUUAGCUAGUUGGUGGGGUAACGGCUCACCAAGGCAACGAUGCAUAGCCGACCUGAGAGGGUGAUCGGCCACACUGGGACUGAGACACGGCCCAGACUCCUACGGGGGGCAGCAGUAGGGAAUCUUCGGAAAUGGACGAAAGUCUGACCGAGCAACGCCGCGUGAGUGAAGAAGGUUUUCGGAUCGUAAAACUCUGUUGUUAGAGAAGAACAAGGAUGAGAGUAAAAUGUUCAUCCCUUGACGGUAUCUAACCAGAAAGCCACGGCUAACUACGUGCCAGCAGCCGCCGUAA